rnacentral:snoRNA from 1 species
CCACUGAUAGACUGUGAACAAUUGCUGUUGUUCUUUUGGGUACAAAAGAAAGAAAUCCUGCACUUUCUGUCUGUCUUUUGUGGUGGUUCAGAUUGAAUUGGGGAAUAUAUUU